rnacentral:rRNA from 1 species
UACGGAGGGGGCUAGCGUUGUUCGGAAUUACUGGGCGUAAAGCGCACGUAGGCGGACCAGCAAGUUAGGGGUGAAAUCCCGGGGCUCAACCCCGGAACUGCCUUUAAAACUGUUGGUCUGGAGGUCGAGAGAGGUGAGUGGAAUUCCGAGUGUAGAGGUGAAAUUCGUAGAUAUUCGGAGGAACACCAGUGGCGAAGGCGAGUCCCUGGACAACUUCUGACGCUGAGGCACGAAAGCUAGGGGAGCAAACAGG